CCCGUGCCUUAGAACGGUUGUUUUUCUACACAGCCUGAUUCGGUAGGUUGUCUGGGCUCAGCUAGGUGGUUUCUGCUCAGCGGUCUUCUGGGACUGCAGUUAUCCAGGGGUCCAGCUGGCUUGGGCUGUGCAAUGGAGCCCUUGAUGGCAGCCGCUGGUGCUGGGCCGCCACAGGAAACACUCUGAAACCCCAGCAGGCACCCUUGGUUCUCCUCUGCAUGGCCUCUCCCUGUGGCCCGAGCAUCUCCCAGCAUGGCAGCCAGCUUCAAAGAGGAAGGAAGCCCUGACUGCCAGUUCUCCUAAAGGAUGGGUACAGGAGAGAUCCAUUUCUUUGCUCAAAGUAAUAGGCUUGAUUUUCUAAUCCUUUCAACAUUAACCAGAACGGAUGUUUCUGAAGCCUGCAUCAGACCCUGACUGUCACAGACAUAAACUCUCAAAGGUUCUCCGUAGAUGGACCCCAGGAGCAACUCAGAUGCAAACACUGCCACAAGCAAGCACGUGAGGACAUCUCCCAGAUGUGCCACUUACGAGCAGAGGACACUGUGAUUUGAUCACUGAAAGUCAAGAGAAACCGACUUGAACCAUUGCUCUGUCUGAAAGAAUAAGG
ensembl:processed_transcript Gm13791 predicted gene 13791